rnacentral:rRNA from 1 species
AGCAGCCGCCACGGUAAUACGAAGGGUGCAAGCGUUAAUCGGAAUUACUGGGCGUAAAGCGUGCGUAGGCGGUGAGUUAAGUCUGCUGUGAAAUCCCCGGGCUCAACCUGGGAAUGGCAGUGGAUACUGGCUCGCUAGAGUGUGUCAGAGGAUGGUGGAAUUCCCGGUGUAGCGGUGAAAUGCGUAGAGAUCGGGAGGAACAUCAGUGGCGAAGGCGGCCAUCUGGGACAACACUGACGCUGAGGCACGAAAGCGUGGGGAGCAAACAGGAUUAGAUACCCCGGUAGUCCCUGUCUCUUAUAC